UGAGUACGAGCUGCUACGGCAGCGAAGUGGGUGAUGUCAAGCUUCCAAGAAAAGCCCUAUACCCGUUAAGGCAUGACGGCCUGUACCCGAAACCGACACAGGUGGGGUGGUAGAGAAUACCGAGGGGCGCGAGAUAACUCUCUCUAAGGAACUCGGCAAAAUGGCCCCGUAACUUCGGGAGAAGGGGUGCCACCGCAAGGUGGUCGCAGUGAAGAGGCCCAGGCGACUGUUUACCAAAAACACAGGUCUCCGCUAAGUCGCAAGACGAUGUAUGGGGGCUGACGCCUGCCCAGUGCCGGAAGGUUAAGGAAGCUGGUCAGCGCAAGCGAAGCUAGCGACUGAAGCCCCGGUGAACGGCGGCCGUAACUAUAACGGUCCUAAGGUAGCGAAAUUCCUUGUCGGGUAAGUUCCGACCCGCACGAAAGGCGUAACGAUCUGGGCGCUGUCUCGGAGAGAGGCUCGGCGAAAUAGAAUUGUCUGUGAAGAUGCGGACUACGUGCACCCGGACAGAAAGACCCUAUGAAGCUUUACUGUAGCUUGGUUUUGUGCCCGGGCUCUGAAUGCGCAGGAUAGGUGGGAGGCUUUGAUCCAUUGCUUGUGGGUAAUGGUGAGCCACUGGUGAGAUACCACUCUUUCAGAGCUAGGGUUCUAACGGUCACCCGUUAUCCGGGGACCGGACAGUAUCAGGUGGGCAGUUUGACUGGGGCGGUCGCCUCCUAAAAGGUAACGGAGGCGCGCAAAGGUUCCCUCAGGCUGGUUGGAAAUCAGCCGACGAGUGUAAAGGCAGAAGGGGGCUUGACUGUGAGACCUACAAGUCGAACAGGGACGAAAAGUCGGCCUUAGUGAUCCGACGGUUCUGAGUGGAAGGGCCGUCGCUCAACGGAUAAAAGUUACUCUAAGGAUAACAGGCUGAUCUCCCCCAAGAGUUCACAUCGACGGGGAGGUUUGGCACCUCGAUGUCGGCUCAUCGCAACCUGGGGCUGAAGUCGGUCCCAAGGGUUGGGCUGUUCGCCCAUUAAAGCGGUACGCGAGCUGGGUUCAGAACGUCGUGAGACAGUUCGGUCCAUAUCCGGUGCGCGCGCAGGAACAUUGGGAGGAUUUCUCCCUAGUACGAGAGGACCGGGAGGAACGCACCUCUGGUGUACCAGUUAUCGUGCCAACGGUAAACGCUGGGUAGCCAUGUGCGGAGCGGAUAACCGCUGAAAGCAUCUAAGUGGGAAGCCCACCUCAAGAUGAGUGUUCCCAUGGCAUAAGCCAGUAAGGUCACGGGAAGAACACCCGUUGAUAGGCUCUACGUGGAAGCGUGGCAACACGUGAAGCGGAGGAGUACUAAUAGACCGAGGGCUUGACC
rnacentral:rRNA from 1 species